GUAUAUGGCGCAUGAAUGGCGCAUAAUAGACUGUAAUCCCUGAAAAUGCUGGAUUUGCGUAAAGUCUUUUAAUCAGUAGGUCAUGGGUUCGAAUCCCAUCGCUCUCACCA
rnacentral:tRNA from 1 species